CGCGAAUCGCCCUUCGGGGUGCACCAGGCGCGAAAACUUUACAAUGCCGGCAACGGCGAUAAGGGGACCUCGAGUGCCAGGUUACAAAUCUGGCUGUCGAGAUGCCUAAAAAGCAUUUCAUAGCAAGGGCCGGGCAAGACCGGUGCCAGCCGCCGCGGUAACACCGGCGGCUCGAGUGGUAACCGUUAUUAUUGGGUCUAAAGGGUCUGUAGCCGGCCGGAUAAGUCUCUUGGGAAAUCCAGCAGCUCAACUGUUGGGCUUUCAGGAGAUACUGUCUGGCUCGAGGCCGGGAGAGGUGAGAGGUACUUCAGGGGUAGGGGUGAAAUCUUGUAAUCCUUGAAGGACCACCAGUGGCGAAGGCGUCUCACCAGAACGGACCUGACGGCAAGGGACGAAAGCUAGGGGCACGAACCGGAUUAGAUACCCGGGUAGUCCUAGCCGUAAACGAUACUCGCUAGGUGUCGGCCACGGUGCGACCGUUGUCGGUGCCGUAGGGAAGCCGUGAAGCGAGCCACCUGGGAAGUACGGCCGCAAGGCUGAAACUUAAAGGAAUUGGCGGGGGAGCAC
rnacentral:rRNA from 1 species